AACGAACGCUGGCGGCGUGGAUAAGACAUGCAAGUCGGACGAGAUUUUUCGUUGUAGCAAUAUGAUGGGAAGUUUAGUGGCGAACGGGUGCUUAACACGUGGGCAACCUGCCAGGAAGUGGGGGAUAGCUCGCCGAAAGGCGAAUUAAUACCGCAUGUGAUUAGAGAGGACAUCCUUUCGAAAUUAAAGUCGGGGCAACCUGACGCUUCUUGUGGGGCCCGCGGCCUAUCAGCUAGUUGGUGGGGUAACGGCUCACCAAGGCUUUGACGGGUAGCUGGUCGGAGAGGACGACCAGCCACACUGGGACUGAGACACGGCCCAGACACCUACGGGUGGCAGCAGUCGAGAAUUUUUGACAAUGGGGGAAACCCUGAUCGAGCGACGCCGCGUGGAGGAUGAAGGUCUUCGGAUUGUAAACUCCUGUCAUUGGGGAACAAUGCGUGACGGUUAACUGCCGUCGCGCUGAUAGUACCCGAAGAGGAAGAGACGGCUAACUCUGUGCCAGCAGCCGCCGUAACAC
rnacentral:rRNA from 1 species